UACACGGCCCGUACCCCAAACCGACACAGGUGAUCAGGUAGAGAAUACCAAGGCGAUCGAGAGAACUGUGGUUAAGGAACUCGGCAAAAUGCCCCCGUAACUUCGGGAGAAGGGGGACCAUGCCCGGUGAACAUCUUCACGGUGGGAGCUGGGUGUGGUCGCAGAGACCAGAGAGAAGCGACUGUUUACUAAAAACACAGGUCCGUGCGAAGACGUAAGUCGAUGUAUACGGACUGACGCCUGCCCGGUGCUGGAAGGUUAAGAGGACCGGUUAGCCGUAAGGCGAAGCUGAGAAUUUAAGCCCCAGUAAACGGCGGUGGUAACUAUAACCAUCCUAAGGUAGCGAAAUUCCUUGUCGGGUAAGUUCCGACCUGCACGAAUGGCGUAACGACUUCUCUGCUGUCUCGACCACAGACUCGGCGAAAUUGCACUACGAGUAAAGAUGCUCGUUACGCGCGGCAGGACGAAAAGACCCCGGGACCUUUACUAUAGCUUGGUAUUGGCGUUCGAUUCGGUUUGUGUAGGAUAGGUGGGAGACUGUGAAGCAUGCACGCCAGUGUGUGUGGAGUCGUUGUUGAAAUACCACUCUGAUCGUAUUGGACGUCUAACCUCGGCCCAUGAUCUGGGUUAGGGACAGUGCCUGGUGGGUAGUUUAACUGGGGCGGUUGCCUCCUAAAGAGUAACGGAGGCGCCCAAAGGUUCCCUCAGCCUGGAUGGCAAUCAGGUGUUGAGUGCAAGUGCACAAGGGAGCUUGACUGUGAGACUGACACGUCGAGCAGGGACGAAAGUCGGGACUAGUGAUCCGGCACCGGCAAGUGGAAGCGGUGUCGCUCAACGGAUAAAAGGUACCCCGGGGAUAACAGGCUGAUCUUCCCCAAGAGUCCAUAUCGACGGAUGGUUUGGCACCUCGAUGUCGGCUCGUCGCAUCCUGGGGCUGGAGUAGGUCCCAAGGGUUGGGCUGUUCGCCCAUUAAAGCGGCACGCGAGCUGGGUUUAGAACGUCGUGAGACAGUUCGGUCUCUAUCCGCCGCGCGCGUAAGAAACUUGAGGAAGGCUGUCCCUAGUACGAGAGGACCGGGACGGACGAACCUCUGGUGUGCCAGUUGUUCCACCAGGAGCAUGGCUGGUUAGCUACGUUCGGAAGGGAUAACCGCUGAAAGCAUCUAAGCGGGAAGCCUGUUCCAAGAUGAGGUUUCUCACCACCUUGCGUGGUUAAGGCCCCCUACAGACCAUGGGGUUGAUAGGCCGGAACUGGAAGCGCAGCAAUGCGUGGAGGUGACCGGUACUAAUAGGCCGAGGGCUU
rnacentral:rRNA from 1 species